AUAUACCAUAUUCCAACUUCUUUCUUUUGACAGGCUUGCCAGUAAAUAGCCCCAGAAUGCCUCGCAAGAUUAAUAUAAGUAUCACACGUCAU